rfam:Ipomoea nil DNA, scaffold: scaffold2797, cultivar: Tokyo-kokei standard.
CCGACCUUAGCUCAGUUAGUAGAGCGGAGGACUGUAGUUUGAUUAAUCUUAAUUGAAAAUCCUUAGGUCGCUGGUUCGAAUCCGCAGGUCGGA